rnacentral:tRNA from 1 species
GGGGAUAUAGCUUAGUAGUAGAGCUCUGGCCUAGGAUGAGCAAGGUCCUGGGUUCAAUCCCCAGCACCACCA